rnacentral:rRNA from 1 species
GCGGCGUGCCUAAUACAUGCAAGUCGAGCGAACAGACGAGGAGCUUGCUCCUCUGACGUUAGCGGCGGACGGGUGAGUAACACGUGGAUAACCUACCUAUAAGACUGGGAUAACUUCGGGAAACCGGAGCUAAUACCGGAUAAUAUAUUGAACCGCAUGGUUCAAUAGUGAAAGACGGUUUUGCUGUCACUUAUAGAUGGAUCCGCGCCGCAUUAGCUAGUUGGUAAGGUAACGGCUUACCAAGGCAACGAUGCGUAGCCGACCUGAGAGGGUGAUCGGCCACACUGGAACUGAGACACGGUCCAGACUCCUACGGGAGGCAGCAGUAGGGAAUCUUCCGCAAUGGGCGAAAGCUUGACGGAGCAACGCCGCGUGAGUGAUGAAGGUCUUCGGAUCGUAAAACUCUGUUAUUAGGGAAGAACAAAUGUGUAAGUAACUAUGCACGUCUUGACGGUACCUAAUCAGAAAGCCACGGCUAACUACGUG